UGUUAGGGUGGGAAAAGGUUGGGAAUAUCAUCAUUUAUUUGCUGUUUUGUACGUUAAAUUGUUAGGGUGGGAAAAGGUUGGGAAUAUCAUCAUUUAUUUGCUGUUUUGUACGUUAAAUUAUUAAACGUGUAGGAAAGUGAACGCCAACCUCUGCCUGCAGUCGUUUGUGCAGCACCAAAGCCCCCCCCAGGCUC
rnacentral:lncRNA from 7 species